AAUGCUGUUUUUGAAUAGCUGGAGGGUGAGUAGUCACAUAGUAAUUUACUAUGUGACUACUCACCCUCCAGCUAUUCAAAAACAGCA